CUUGAACGCUGGCGGCAGGCCUAACACAUGCAAGUCGCGCGGAGCGGCGGACGGGUGAGUAAUGCCUAGGAAUCUGCCUGGUAGUGGGGGCUAACGUCCGGAAACGGGCGCUAAUACCGCAUACUAUCAGAUGAGCCUAGGUCGGAUUAGCUAGUUGGUGGGGUAAAGGCCUACCAAGGCGACGAUCCGUAACUGGUCUGAGCGGAUGAUCAGUCAUCCUGGAACUUAGACACGGUCCAGACUCCUACGGGAGGAAGGAGGGGGGAAUAUGGGACGAUGGGCGAAAGCCUGAUGCAGCCAUGCCGCGGAUAUGAAGAAGGACUUCGGGUUGUAAAGUACUUUCAGUCGGGAGGCGUUACCGACAGAAGAAGCACCGGCUAACUCCGUGCCAGCAGCCGCGGUAAUAC
rnacentral:rRNA from 1 species